GACGAAGGUGGCGACCGUUGUUCGGAAUCACUGGGCAUAAAGAGCUCGUAGGCGGUGAGAAAAGUAGGGUGUGAAAUCCCUCGGCCCAACCGAGGAACUGCGCUCUAAACUGUCUUGCUUGAGGACCGAAGGGGACCACGGAAUUCCUGGUGGAGCGGUGAAAUGCGUUAAUAUCAGGAGGAACACCGGCGGCGAAGGCGGUGGUCUGGUCGGUUUCUGACGCUGAGGAGCGAAAGCUAGGGGAGCAAACGGG
rnacentral:rRNA from 1 species